UUACUGCAGAGGAUCCAUAUGGUGGAACAUACCACCAGAGUUGGCAGCAGCAAAAUGCGCCUCCUCCACCUCCUGAGCAUGUGGUCAAGAUGCACCCUUCACCUCCGCCAGCAUAUGCCAACCGUCCUCCACAGGCACCGCCACCGCCUCCACCAGCGAUGUUAAACAGUAGUGGUGGGUCGGGUUCUAAUUACUCUGGUGGCGAGAUCCUACCUCCACCAUCCCCUGGCACUGCCCUUGGCUUCUCAAAGAGCACAUUCACGUACGAAGAGUUGGUAAGGGCAACUGAUGGAUUCUCUGAUGCCAAUCUCCUCGGACAAGGUGGUUUUGGCUACGUUCACAGAGGACUGCUGCCUAAUGGC
rnacentral:lncRNA from 1 species